rnacentral:rRNA from 1 species
CGGACGGGUGAGUAAUGUCUGUGAAACUGCCUGAUGGAGGGGGAUAACUACUGGAAACGGUAGCUAAUACCGCAUAACGUCGCAAGACCAAAGAGGGGGACCUUCGGGCCUCUUGCCAUCGGAUGUGCCCAGAUGGGAUUAGCUAGUAGGUGGGGUAACGGCUCACCUAGGCGACGAUCCCUAGCUGGUCUGAGAGGAUGACCAGCCACACUGGAACUGAGACACGGUCCAG